UACGUAGGGGGCAAGCGUUGCUCGGAAUCACUGGGCGUAAAGCGCACGUAGGCGGCUUCUUAAGUCAGGGGUGAAAUCCUGGAGGCUCAACUCCAGAACUGCCUUUGAUACUGAGGAGCUUGAGUCCGGGAGAGGUGAGUGGAACUGCGAGUGUAGAGGUGAAAUUCGUAGAUAUUCGCAAGAACACCAGUGGCGAAGGCGGCUCACUGGCCCGGUACUGACGCUGAGGUGCGAAAGCGUGGGGAGCAAACAGG
rnacentral:rRNA from 1 species